rnacentral:rRNA from 1 species
AGCCAUGCAGUGUCAGAGGACACUGUGAAUCGAGAGUUGAUCUGUGAAUGGCUCCUUAGACCAGUUGCCAUCGACGUGAUAGACCGUGUGUGGCACCAGCCUCUCGCCCAAGGCGCUCAGUUGGACAUCCCUCAAAACCUGGUGGCUAAUACACGAUCAAGAGGUCAGCCAAAGGACCUGUGGUGAUGCAACAACCCUCAAAGUCGCUUCGCGUCUCACCCUCAGUGGUAGACUGCAACCAGCUGGUGAUCAAGACCUGUGCUCCGCAACUCGGAGCAGCGUUGACCCCGCGAUGAACCAAGCUGGAUCUCAAUGGCGUAUCGAAACGAAAGGCAAGGGACAGUCAGCUCUGGCGAUUUGAUCUCGGCUGUGGCUCAGGCCUCAGCUGGAUCUACACGACAUGUGUGCUCGUGGUCUCACCGAGGCCUCGUUCACUCAGCUUGAUCAUGCGAACUUCUGACCUAUCAGCUCGAUGGUGAUGCAAUGGAUCACACUGGCCUCGACGGGUAACGGGGAAUGAGGGUCUGAUUCCGGAGAGGGAGCCUUAGAGACGGCUACCACUGCUACGGCGGGCAGCAGGCACGCAAAUUGCCCCAUGAACGAACACCCAUUGAGGCAGCAACGAACUGCAGCAACCGUGCAUGACCUCAUUGGUCGGUACGGCUUGUAAUGGAUGCAACCCAAACACAGUUAUGAGUAGCCACUGGAGAGCAAGUCUGGUGCCAGCAGUCGCGGUAAUUCCAGCUCCGAGUGCGUAUGCUGUCAUUGCUGCUGUUAAAGCGCUCGUAGUCAGACAAUGGGUUGCAGGGACCGUGUAGCCACGCAGGCCCAGUGGGCUCCCAGAUGCCCCGUGCAGAUGGUCCCAUCGGACAACCCAGCAGCUGCACGUGACCCACGUCCCUCGGCAACGAGGACGUCUCUCUGCUUCCCACAGCUCAGGCUGCUGCAUCGGCUCACCCGUGGCCCGGUGCACCCAGUCUGGAUGGCAUGAUGUGCUCUUGCUGCAAGCGCCCUUUACUGGACCCUGAGGCGGUGAUGCUCACAACGCUAGUCAUUG